UACGGAGGGUGCAAGCGUUAUCCGGAUUCACUGGGUUUAAAGGGUGCGUAGGUGGGCAGUUAAGUCAGUGGUGAAAUCUCCCGGGCUCAACCCGGAAACUGCCAUUGAUACUAUCUGUCUUGAAUAUCGUGGAGGUAAGCGGAAUAUGUCAUGUAGCGGUGAAAUGCUUAGAUAUGACAUAGAACACCAAUUUGCGAAGGCAGCUUACUACCCCGAAUAUUGACACUGAGGCACGAAAAGCGUGGGGGAUCAAAACAGG
rnacentral:rRNA from 1 species